CUUAAACAGAAUCACAUCGUGCAUUACUGUCCUAGAUACUGGAAACCAGACAGAAUGAAUAUUGAUUUAGGAAUGGAUGACCUCUACAGGGACAGAUGCAAAAAGCAGCUCCAGAAGGGCCCCAAAUCAGUAAACCAUCAUGACCACAACUCCUCUCACCAGCUGGUGGCCUGUACUAGCUGUCUACAUUUGAUCUACUUAUGCUACUGAAUGAAGAAUGAAGAAUGCUACUGAAUGAAAAAUAUCUAAU